GACAAUAAACCUUAUCAUUAUAUCAAGAUAUUGAAAACUCUAACCCAUUCGGUCAAAUUUUUGCAUGCCUUCAAUCGUAUAUUAAUUCAUCAAUAAACCUGAAUGUUUUUGAUUUGCAUUUCUCUAAUGACCAGUGAUGAUGAGCUUUUUUUCAUAUGUUUGUUGACUGCAUAAAUUUCUCCCUUUGGAGAAGUGCCUGUUCAUAUCCUUCACCCACUUUUUGAUGAGGUUGAUUGUUUUUCUUGGCUUUUUUUGGUUGGUAGGGUAUUAAUUAAUGCCUCAAUUUCACAACUUUUUAUUGGUCUAUUCACGAUUUGACUUCUUUGUGGUUUAGUUACGGAUUUUCUUCCUCCUGGGAGGAUGUAUGUGUCCAGGAAUUUAUACAUUUCCUCUAGAUUUUCUAGUUUUUGUUUUGUUUUGUUUUGUUUUGUUUUUGCAUAGAGGUGUUUAUAGUAUUCUCUGUUGGUAGUUUUUAUUUCUGUGGGAUCAGUGUUGAUAUCCCCUUUAUCAUUUUUUAUUGUGUCUAUUUGAUUUUUCUCUCUUUUCUCCUUUUUUAGUCUGGCUAGUGGUCUAUCUAUUUUUUUAAUCUUUUCAAAAGAACAGCUCCUUGAUUCAAUGAUUUUUUGAAGGGUUUUUCGUGCCUCUAUCUCCUUCGGUUCUGCUCUGAUCUUAGUUAUUUCUUGUCUUCUGCUAGCUUUUGAAUUUGUUUGCUCUUGCUUCUCUAUUUCUUUUAAUUGUGAUGUUAGGGUGUCAAUUUUAGAUCUUUCCUGCUUUCUGAUGUGGGCAUUUGGUGCUAUAACUUUCCCUGUAAAUACUGCUUUAGCUCUGUCCCAGAGAUUCUGGUACAUUGUCUGUUUUCAUUGGUUUCAAAGAACUUUGUUACUUCUGCCUUAUUUUUGUUACUUACCCAAGAGUCAUUGAGGAGCAAGUUGUUCAGUUUCCACAAAAUUGUGUGGUUUUGAGUAACUUUCUUAAUCCUGAGUUCUAAUUUGAUUACACUGUGGUCUAAGAGGCUGUUUUUUUACAUUUGCAUCCAUUCUUUUGCAUUUGUUGAGGAGUGUUUUACUUCCAAUUAUGUGGUUGAUUUUAGAGUAAGUGCUAUGUGAUGCUGAUAAAAAUGUAUAUUCUGUUGAUUUGAUGUGGACAGUUCUGUAGAUAUCUAUUAGGGCUGCUUGGUCCAGAGGUGCCAGAGGCUCAAUAUUAUCAUACUUCUCCUGGUUUGCUCUACAAUAACAUCGAUAUCAUCCUGGAAGUUCCCAUAAGAACUCAGGCAUAUUCCUGCUUGAGGCCUUUUUUGUGAAUUUACAUCUAUUUAUAAUAAACGUAAAUGUAUAUACACACACACAAACCCAAUAUAAAUGAGUUAGAGGUCCUCAUGACAGUGGGUUUUAAUCAGUUUCAAGUAGUUCUAAAAUUUUACCUUUUAAAUGUUGAGCUAUAUUAUUUAGCAUAAACUUAAAAGUUUCUUAUUU
rnacentral:lncRNA from 1 species